ensembl:snoRNA small nucleolar RNA SNORA19
UCACACAUUUCAUUGACCUGCUUUCUUUUGAAUAUGUGAGCAGUGUUAUUUCUUAGGUGCUAUACAAAUACUUGAAAGUUAAUUAGCAGAGUAACUAUAUAUAAUAAUACUGCCAGUCUCCUCCAGACAAAG